rnacentral:rRNA from 1 species
GUGAGACUGAUCCAGCCAUCCCGCGUGUGCGAUGAAGGCCUUCGGGUUGUAAAGCACUUUUGGCAGGAAAGAAACGUCAUGGGCUAAUACCCCGUGAAACUGACGGUACCUGCAGAAUAAGCACCGGCUAACUACGUGCCAGCAGCCGCGGUAAUACGUAGGGUGCAAGCGUUAAUCGGAAUUACUGGGCGUAAAGCGUGCGCAGGCGGUUCGGAAAGAAAGAUGUGAAAUCCCAGAGCUUAACUUUGGAACUGCAUUUUUAACUACCGAGCUAGAGUGUGUCAGAGGGAGGUGGAAUUCCGCGUGUAGCAGUGAAAUGCGUAGAUAUGCGGAGGAACACCGAUGGCGAAGGCAGCCUCCUGGGAUAACACUGACGCUCAUGCACGAAAGCGUGGGGAGCAAACAGGAUUAGAUACCCUGGUAGUCCACGCCCUAAACGAUGUCAACUAGCUGUUGGGGCCUUCGGGCCUUGGUAGCGCAGCUAACGCGUGAAGUUGACCGCCUGGGGAGUACGGUCGCAAGAUUAAAACUCAAAGGAAUUGACGGGGACCCGCACAAGCGGUGGAUGAUGUGGAUUAAUUCGAUGCAACGCGAAAAACCUUACCUACCCUUGACAUGUCUGGAAUUCCGAAGAGAUUUGGAAGUGCUCGCAAGAGAACUGAACAUCUGACCGCAU